UACGGAGGAUGCGAGCGUUAUCCGGAUUUAUUGGGUUUAAAGGGUGCGCAGGCGGAUUUUUAAGUCAGCGGUCAAAGCCCGGGGCUCAACCCCGGCCCGCCGUUGAAACUGACAGUCUCGAGUUGGAGAGAAGUAUGCGGAAUGCGCGGUGUAGCGGUGAAAUGCAUAGAUAUCGCGCAGAACUCCGAUUGCGAAGGCAGCAUACCGGCGCCCGACUGACGCUGAGGCACGAAAGUGCGGGUAUCGAACAGG
rnacentral:rRNA from 1 species